rnacentral:rRNA from 1 species
UACGAAGGGGGCUAGCGUUGUUCGGAAUUACUGGGCGUAAAGCGCGCGCAGGCGGUUCUUCAAGUCAGAGGUGAAAGCCCCGAGCUCAACUCGGGAAUUGCCUUUGAGACUGGGGGACUUGGGUACGGGAGAGGUGAGUGGAAUUCCGAGUGUAGAGGUGAAAUUCGUAGAUAUUCGGAAGAACACCAGUGGCGAAGGCGGCUCACUGGCCCGUUACCGACGCUCAGGCGCGACAGCGUGGGGAUCAAACAGG